CGGAAAGCCUGACGCAGCGACGCCGCGUGAGGGAUGAAGGCCUUCGGGUUGUAAACCUCUGUCAGGGGGGAAGAAUCCGGAGUCGGUGAAUACCCGACUCCACUGACGGUACCCCCAGAGGAAGCACCGGCUAACUCCGUGCCAGCAGCCGCGGUAAGACGGAGGGUGCAAACGUUGUUCGGAAUCACUGGGCGUAAAGGGCGCGUAGGCGGACUCGUAAGUCGGGAGUGAAAACUCGGGGCUCAACCCCGAGCCUGCUUCUGAAACUGCGAGUCUUGAGGACCGGAGAGGAAAGUGGAAUUCCUAGUGUAGCGGUGGAAUGCGUAGAUAUUAGGAAGAACACCAGUGGCGAAGGCGACUUUCUGGACGGUUCCUGACGCUGAGGCGCGAAAGCUAGGGGAGCAAACAGGAUUAGAUACCCUGGUAGUCCUAGCCGUAAACGAUGAGUGCUAGGUGGUGGUAGUUUCAACACUUUCACCGCCGCAGCCAACGCAUUAAGCACUCCGCCUGGGGAGUACGGCCGCAAGGUUG
rnacentral:rRNA from 1 species